rnacentral:rRNA from 1 species
UACAACUUUCAGCAACGGAUCUCUUGGCUCUCGCAUCAAUGAAGAACGCAGCGAAAUGCGAUAAGUAAUGUGAAUUGCAGAAUUCAGUGAAUCAUCGAAUCUUUGAACGCACCUUGCGCUCCUUGGUAUUCUGAGGAGCAUGCCUGUUUGAGUGUCAUUAAACUCUCAA